rnacentral:rRNA from 1 species
GACAGAGGAUGCAAGCAUUAUCCGGAAUGAUUGGGCGUAAAGAGCUCGUAGGCGGCCUGUUGCGUCCGCUGUGAAAGCCCGGGGCUUAACCCCGGGUCGGCAGUGGAUACGGGCAGGCUAGAGGUAGGUAGGGGAGAAUGGAAUUCCCGGUGUAGCGGUGAAAUGCGCAGAUAUCGGGAGGAACACCGGUGGCGAAGGCGGUUCUCUGGGCAGUAACUGACGCUGAGGAGCGAAAGCGUGGGGAGCGAACAGG